CAUGGAGCCGGUAUCAGGCACAAAUCUUAGCCCAAGACACCUAGCUACGCCACACCCACAAGGGAACUCAGCAGUGAUUAACAUUGAAUAUAAGCGACAGCUUGAUUCAGUUAAAGUAAAGAGAGCCGGCUAAUCUGGUGCCAGCCGCCGCGGUUACACCACGUGGCUCAAAUUGAUCCUUCUCGGCGUAAAGCGUGAUUUAAGAGACACUAUUUUGGUGUCAAAAAGACACUAAGCCGUGACACGCUUGUGUUUAAGAAGCCCAAGAACGAAAGUUACACCAACCAAAUCAACUUGAACUCACGACAGCCAGGAAACAAACUGGGAUUAGAUACCCCACUAUGCCUGGCCGUAAACUUUAACUUACACUUAUAAUCGCCCGGGAACUACGAGCCAAGCUUAAAACCCAAAGGACUUGACGGUACCCCAAAUCCACCUAGAGGAGCCUGUCCUAUAAUCGAUAACCCCCGUUUAACCUCACCAUUCCUUGUCUAUCAGCCUGUAUACCUCCGUCGCCAGCUUACCGCGUGAGCGCCAUUAAGUGAGCUUAAUGCCCAUACGCCAACACGUCAGGUCAAGGUGCAGCUAAUGAAAUGGGAAGAGAUGGGCUACACUUUCUACCGUAGAAAAAACGAAAGACUACCUAUGAAAUCUAGUCAGAAGGAGGAUUUAGUAGUAAAAAGAAAACAGAGUGUUCUUUUUAAUCCGGCACUGGGGUGUGUACACACCGCCCGUCACCCUCUUCAAGGCCCAAUUAAAGUACAUAACCAAACUUUGCCACAUAGAAGAGGCAAGUCGUAACACGGUAAGUAUACCGGAAGGUGUGCUUGGAAA
rnacentral:ncRNA from 1 species